rnacentral:rRNA from 1 species
GAUGAACGCUAGCGGCAGGCUUAAUACAUGCAAGUCGAGGGGCAGCAUAGUGUAGCAAUACAUGGGUGGCGACCGGCAAACGGGUGCGGAACACGUACAGAACCUUCCUUCGAGCGGGGAAUAGCCCAGAGAAAUUUGGAUUAAUACCCCAUAGUAUAUUGGAGUGGCAUCACUUUGAUAUUAAAGAUUUAUCACUUGAAGAUGGCUGUGCGUCUGAUUAGGUAGUUGGUGAGGUAAUGGCUCACCAAGCCAGCGAUCAGUAACUGGUGUGCGAGCACGGCCAGUCACAAGGGCACUGAGACACGGGCCCGACUCCUACGGGAGGCAGCAGUAAGGAAUAUUGGUCAAUGGACGCAAGUCUGAACCAGCCAUGCCGCGUGGAGGAUGAAGGUCCUCUGGAUUGCAAACUUCUUUUAUCUGGGACGAAAAAGGGCCUUUCUAGGUCAACUGACGGUACCAGAUGAAUAAGCACCGGCUAACUCCGUGCCAGCCGCCGCCGUAAUAC